GAUGAACGCUGGCGGCGUGCCUAAUACAUGCAAGUCGAGCGAACGGGCGAGAAGCUUGCUUCUCUGAUGUUAGCGGCGGACGGGUGAGUAACACGUGGAUAACCUACCUAUAAGACUGGGAUAACUUCGGGAAACCGUAGCUAAUACCGGAUAAUAUUUUGAACCGCAUGGUUCAAAAGUGAAAGACGGUCUUGCUGUCACUUAUAGAUGGAUCCGCGCUGCAUUAGCUAGUUGGUAAGGUAACGGCUUACCAAGGCAACGAUGCAUAGCCGACCUGAGAGGGUGAUCGGCCACACUGGAACUGAGACACGGUCCAGACUCCUACGGGAGGCAGCAGUAGGGAAUCUUCCGCAAAGGGCGAAAGCCUGACGGAGCAACGCCGCGUGAGUGAUGAAGGUCUUCGGAUCGUAAAACUCUGUUAUUAGGGAAGAACAUAUGUGUAAGUAACUGUGCACAUCUUGACGGUACCUAAUCAGAAAGCCACGGCUAACUACGUG
rnacentral:rRNA from 1 species